rnacentral:rRNA from 1 species
GGGCCGAGGCGCGGUCUUACCAUGCAGUCGAACGGUGAAAGAGAGCUUGCUCUCUGGAUCAGUGGCGAACGGGUGAGUAACACGUGAGCAAUCUGCCCCUGACUCUGGGAUAAGCGCUGGAAACGGCGUCUAAUACCGGAUACGAGCUGCGAAGGCAUCUUCAGCAGCUGGAAAGAACUUCGGUCAGGGAUGAGCUCGCGGCCUAUCAGCUAGUUGGUGAGGUAAUGGCUCACCAAGGCGUCGACGGGUAGCCGGCCUGAGAGGGUGACCGGCCACACUGGGACUGAGACACGGCCCAGACUCCUACGGGAGGCAGCAGUGGGGAAUAUUGCACAAUGGGCGCAAGCCUGAUGCAGCAACGCCGCGUGAGGGACGACGGCCUUCGGGUUGUAAACCUCUUUUAGCAGGGAAGAAGCGAAAGUGACGGUACCUGCAGAAAAAGCACCGGCUAACUACGUGCCAGCAGCCGCGGUAAUACGUAGGGUGCAAGCGUUAUCCGGAAUUAUUGGGCGUAAAGAGCUCGUAGGCGGUUUGUCGCGUCUGCUGUGAAAUCUGGGGGCUCAACCCCCAGCCUGCAGUGGGUACGGGCAGACUAGAGUGCGGUAGGGGAGAUUGGAAUUCCUGGUGUAGCGGUGGAAUGCGCAGAUAUCAGGAGGAACACCGAUGGCGAAGGCAGAUCUCUGGGCCGUAACUGACGCUGAGGAGCGAAAGGGUGGGGAGCAAACAGGCUUAGAUACCCUGGUAGUCCACCCCGUAAACGUUGGGAACUAGUUGUGGGGUCCAUUCCACGGAUUCCGUGACGCAGCUAACGCAUUAAGUUCCCCGCCUGGGGAGUACGGCCGCAAGGCUAANAC